GAUGAACGCUGGCGGCGUGCUUGACACAUGCAAGUCGAACGGUGAACGAGGGAGCUUGCUCCCUCCGGAUCAGUGGCGAACGGGUGAGUAACACGUGAGCAAUCUGCCCCGAACUCUGGGAUAAGCGCUGGAAACGGCGUCUAAUACCGGAUACGACGCGCGAAGGCAUCUUCUGCGCGUGGAAAGAAUUUCGGUUCGGGAUGAGCUCGCGGCCUAUCAGCUAGUUGGUGAGGUAACGGCUCACCAAGGCGCCGACGGGUAGCCGGCCUGAGAGGGUGACCGGCGACACGGGGACUGAGACACGGCCCAGACUCCUACGGGAGGCAGCAGUGGGGAAUAUUGCACAAUGGGCGCAAGCCUGAUGCAGCAACGCCGCGUGAGGGACGACGGCCUUCGGGUUGUAAACCUCUUUUAGUAGGGAAGAAGCGAAAGUGACGGUACCUGCAGAAAAAGCACCGGCUAACUACGUGCCAGCCGCCGCAGUAAUAC
rnacentral:rRNA from 1 species